UUGAACAGGUAUAAUGUUAAUUUACAUUCAACUUAAUUCAGGAAACAUGCAUGCUAGAUUCAGGGCUCUGUGAUACAGGCCACAGGAAGGACUGAUGGAAAUACGAGCCCUCAGAUUCCACGGGAAGAGAAGCUGUGUAUACAACUGUAACCAGGGUAGAAAGAAACAAAAGUCAGAAAUGCUCUAUAAACACAGAGCCAGGUGGAGGAUUAACACUGACUGAUGUCUCAGAAAUGUGUAGGAAGGCAUUGCGGGCUAUUGGUGGAGAGAAUGCAUGAAUAAAUGACACACAGGCUAAAUUUUGAGAAUGGCAAUAAUUCCAUUGGCCAGGGGCCUGCGUUUAUUGGAUGAGGCAAACUGCUGAGUAUAAACCCUGGCAGACACUGAAAGUGGCCACUCCAAACUGCCUCAUCUGCUACCUUUCUUGCUUGCUAGAAGAACCCUGAUUUCAAGACAUGACUGCUUAUCUGAAUAAGUCAAAUACAGUAAUUCUAUCUCCUUGCCCAUGACUGGUAAGCAUGGACGCGUGAUACAGUUCCGAUCAGUGAGAUACGAGGGGAAAUCUGCCGGGGGCUCGGGGCAGGUGUUCCUGCAGAAGAAGGGGUAUGUUUUAUUCUGCACGGUUAUGGGAGAGAGGAUGUGAUGUCUGAGCUGUGGCAGCUGCCUGGAGUUCAAGAAGAAGCGAGCCUGAGGACAAAAGCCAGUGUGCAGAGGAUGACAGAGUGGAACAGUGGAAAGCACCUGGCUGCUUGUGCUGUGCUGCUGAAUAAACCAGUCCCAGAUCCUGAGACUUCUGGAUUUCUUGUUAGGCAAAGACCACAGACCAAAGACCAAAGGAAAAAGUUGCCAUGAUUUAGAAGUCUGUAUCUGCUGUCACUUCUCAGUAAGAUGUCUUUGAUCCUGCCUGUCCUUUACAAAAUGAGACCAAAACCCAAACCAUGGCCAAAACUUCCAAAGAGCAUCUUUCUAGUAUUAUUGUCAACUGUUGAUUAUGUAAAGCAAAACCUCAGGAAGACAUUAGCUUCUCCCUCAAUCAGAUAACACAGGUCAAAGCUGGAGAGGACCUUUGUCAUCACCUCCACAAACAAAUUCCAAGGAAGAAACUGAGUCAUGGAGAUGAUAAAGACCACCAUUCGAGUCAACAGGAGCAGGGCCAGGGACAGACCCAGAUCAGAAGUUUUACAGACAAUAUGGCCUUGCUCAACGUACUGGCUUAUUACUGUGAUUCUAUUACAUAUGAAUUUAAAGCAAGAGGAAAUGUAAGGAUGAGCUGUGAACAUCCACCUAAGUGAUCCACAGAUGGAUGACGACACUACAGUCUCCUGGGAGACCAGCCAGGCAGCAGGGAAGCAAAUGGAGCACAAGAAUGUAAACUAGUACAGCCAGAAUCUGCAGAGCCACCAAAAAAUACUUACACUUGUACAGCAGAGAGUCUCCAUGCAGCAAAAAGAAAGGAAAAAAAUAUGAAUGGAAGAGAGAUAAAGCAACAGCAUUACAAGAAAAGGGGAGGGGAGACACCAUUCGCAAACAGAAAAGCUACAUAAAAAGCCUUCAUAGCAAAGGAAAGAGGCAAGAAUGAGGCCAAACUAUUAUUAGCUUACGGCAUCCAACUUAGUUUUUUAUAAGCAGAAGCACAAUUACAGCUUGAAAACUGCAGAAACUCUUCAGAAAUAUUACCUCUUUUGCUAAGAGCAUGCAAAGUGUCCUCUACCAACUCUGUCAGGUAUUAACACCACUUGGGGAAUGGAGACAUCAUUAGCUCCAAAGGCACUAACUGGUGGACAGAACACUGGAUGGAUAUUAGCAAACUCCAUGCAGCUUUUGGUUCUUGGGCCACAGGGCUAGUCCCAGCAACGAAGUGGGGACAGUGUAUCUGUGCACACAUCUAAGCAUCCCUUCGGGGUGGGGCGGGGGCAGGUUCAUUCCUUUCCAUCAUCCUAUCUUACCCACUGUGAUGCAGUAGCUUUAAAAGUUCUCUCUCCCUCUCAGUCAUCAAAGCAUUCCAGGCAAGGAUCUGAUGCCAAAAUCUAACAUAGUUACCUACCUAUAGUGUCACUGAUAUUGAUGGUACCUCAUACUUUGGUGGGAAUUUAGGUCACCUUACAUUUCAUAUUAAAUCUCUAAUUGAAUAAUUUUUAAAACCUCAUUGGUCAUCACUGACACUUGUUAGGGCAUUUUCUUAAUAUUCUGAAAAUUUAUAAAAGAGCCUUUAAAAACAUAGCAAACACCAGAAAAUCCUAUUAUAGAAUGUUAGGCUUUGUGAAAGCAAAGUAUGAGGGUGGGUGGAAUCUUUUCCAAACCUGAAAACACACUCUGAGAAAGGCCACCUACUCUAUCUACGUGGGGAUGGCUUUUUUUUUUUUCUUUAAGUUCCUUAUUUUGUGUGUGUCAAUUCUUCUCAGUUACAACAGGAUGAAAAUACAACAGGGCUCCUCAAUUUGGGAAUGUUAACAGUUGGGUGACCCACAAGUAGAGGGCUUCCCGUAACCAUCACCACCAUCAGCAUUAUCAUCCUCAGCAGUAUUUGCUUAUCAGAAAGGCUUCCAUCAGCAAGGCCCUGAAAAAGUCUCAAUCCCCAGAUUUCUAAUUUCAUAUUUUAUUAAUUUUCUUCAAAUAGGCCUCAUUUUAUGAUACAUUAAAUUAGAUUGGAAACAGCCUUGCUGAAUGAAAGGAGAAAAAGCAAAAAUGUAUUUUCAAAUAUUCUUGAAUUGUCCGAAAUGAAGACUCUUGCCCCUGUCGUAACUACAUAUCCUGUGAAAAGCCUCCUUCAAGGUGAGACUAUGGAUACAGACAUAGGAGAGUUACAGCCGAUGGUUAAGUCCCAUAGAUAAUUUUAGACUUUCUUUCUCUUUGUGAAAGCUUAAUUCAACAUGACAAAUAACUCUGUCCCAAUUAUUCACCUAAAGAUCAUUAUAAGUGAAGGUGAUAAAGCUUUCAAUUGGUUCAACUCCUAAAAUGGAAGGCAAGCAAAAAAAAUGUUCCUAUCAAGAUGGAAACCAUGGCAACAGACAGUUCAACUUAUCAAACAAAUAAAGAUCAUUAGUUCACUACUCCUGCACACUUUUCGGAACUCACUUAACAUACUGACUUCAGCAUCUCCCUUUCAGGACGAGGGAAGGACAACUAGUGAGUGAAGAGAGGUCAUCCUCUCCCAAGAGUAUGUCUCAUGCUCAAGGUUUUGGCAUCCAAGAAACUGAGCUCAAAGCAGUUAACGGCUGUGGAACUCCAGUCAAUGUUUUUGUAAAGUCAGGCCUCGUUUUCUAGCUUGUAAAAUAAACUGCUACGAGGAUGAAAUA